rnacentral:lncRNA from 1 species
UGUGGGUCACUUCUUCCUCUUGGUAUUGUGACUACUGCUGCUAUGAUCAUGGGUGUGCAGAUAUCUCUUUGAGAUCCUGCUUUAAAUCCUUUUGGAUGUAUACCCAGAAGUGAGAUUGCUGGAUCAUAUGGUAGUUCUAUUUUUAAUUUUUGAGGAAGCUGUUUUUCAUAAUGGUUGCACCAUUUUAUAGUCCCACUAACAGUCCACAAUGGUUCCAAUUUCUCUACCUCCUUCCAAACACUUCUGCUUUUAUUUUACUUUUUACAUUGGCAAUCCGAACGGGUGUGAGGUGAUAUCUCUUUGUGGUUCUGAUUUGCAUUUCUCUGAUGAUUAGUAAUGUUGAGCAUAUUUGCAAAUGCUUGUUAGCUAUUUAUAUAUCAUCUUUGGAGAAAUGUCUAAUCAACUUCUUUGCCCAUUUUUAAAUUGGGUUGAUUUUUGUUGUCGUCUCUUCAAGUUCUAAUGUGUGGUUCCCACAGUAGUAAAUAAGGAGCACUGUAUACACAACAGUUGCACAUGGUGAUUGAGGAACGUUUGCAGUAUUAAUUCAUGUUACUUUAAAUUUGAAUACAUGACAGUCUAGAAGUAACAUACACAAAACAUGAAAAUGAUUUGGUACUAGGUAGAUAUACAUGCUGGCAUUAUUAAAAGUUUCAUAUUGGUCAAAAUAGGUAAAAUAUUUAAUUCAAAUUUUAAAAGUUAAAUUAAUGGCAGCUUUAUUUAAAUUAAUUGAUUAAAAUUUUUAUAUUAAUACAUUAAAAUUUAUAAUUUGCCUUUUAUCAUCUUGAAUAUAUUAAAAGCAAAAUGAUGUUUUGGAAACAUAUGAAAAGUAAUUUUUGGCUGGGGGUGGUGGCUCAUGCCUGUAAUUCCAGCACUUUGGGAGGCUGAGGCGGGUGGAUCAUGAGGUCAGGAUUUUGAGACCAGCCUGGCCAAUAUGGUGAAACCCCAUCUCUACUAAAAAAUACAAAAAUUAGCUGGGCAUGGUGGUGGGCACCUGUAAUCCUAGCUACUUGGGAGGCUGAGGUAGGAGAACUGUUUGAACCUGGGAGGCAGAGGUUGCAGUGAACUGAGAUUAUACCAUUGCACUCCAGCCUGGGUGACAGGGUGAGACUCCGUCUCAAAAAAGAAAAAAAGAGAAUUUUAUAUUUUUGACUUUUACAUAUACUUUAUGCCUUGAUAAAAAUCUAUUUCUACUUUUUGAAUAUACUAUAAUUUAAAUAUAAUUACAUUUUAUUUUCUAAUUUAAAUAUUAGAACAAAAAUUAUGUAAAAACCUUGACCAUAAAUCAUCAUCAGUGAUUUUGCCAAAAUAAAGGAAGUGUUUUAUGAAAUAUUUAUAAUAA